GAUGAACGCUAGCUACAGGCUUAACACAUGCAAGUCGAGGGGAAACGAUAUUGGAAGCUUGCUUCCGAUAGGCGUCGACCGGCGCACGGGUGAGUAACGCGUAUCCAACCUGCCCACCACUUGGGGAUAACCUUGCGAAAGUAAGACUAAUACCCAAUGACGUCCAUAGAAGACAUCUGAAAUGGAUUAAAGAUUUAUCGGUGAUGGAUGGGGAUGCGUCUGAUUAGCUUGUUGGCGGGGUAACGGCCCACCAAGGCGACGAUCAGUAGGGGUUCUGAGAGGAAGGGCCCCCACAUUGGAACUGAGACACGGUCCAAACUCCUACGGGAGGCAGCAGUGAGGAAUAUUGGUCAAUGGGCGAGAGCCUGAACCAGCCAAGUAGCGUGCAGGAUGACGGCCCUAUGGGUUGUAAACUGCCUUUAUAAGGGAAUAAAGUGAGCCUCGUGAGGCCUUUUGCAUGUACCUUAUGAAUAAGGACCGGCUAAUUCCGUGCCAGCCGCCGCCGUAA
rnacentral:rRNA from 1 species